rnacentral:rRNA from 1 species
AGAUGAAAGGGACUUUGAAAAGAGAGUUAAAAAGUACGUGAAACCGUUGAAAGGGAAGCGAAUGGAGUUAGCAAUUCGCCCUGCCAGAUUCAGUUGCUCGUGCAUCGCGACGGUCGCGCUCUCGAUCCGCACGGACGAGGCGCGCUCGGACGCGCUGUUCGGACGGCGCACUUCUGACGAGCGAGCGUCAGCGUCGGUUGUCGACGGGCGACAAGGUCGCAAGGAAGGUGAACCGGCUUCGCGGCCGGUUGUUAAGACUUGCGCUCGUAUAGCUCGCCGGCGACCGUGGCCUGCUGCGACGCGUGCUUGGCUGGCGACCCGACCGAUCGGUCCGGCAUGUCGACCGUGGCGGACGGCACGCCUGUGCGCUCGAACCGCUGCCUGCCGAUCGUGACGGUGUUCGCACACUACGCGUCUAGGAUGCUGACGACCAUACGGCUCCAUCCGACCCGUCUUGAAACACGGACCAAGGAGUCUAACAUGUGCGCGAGUCUCCGGGUGAUCGAAACCCGUGGGCGCAAUGAAAGUAAAGACCGUUCCCUCUCCGGAGGGGAUGGUUGAGGUGAGAAGCGAUUUCAAAUAUCGCUGCAUCAUCGACCGACCUUAUCUGCUCUCAGAGAGGUUUGAGUAAGAGCGUAUCUGUUGGGACCCGAAAGAUGGUGAACUAUGCCUGAAUAGGGUGAAGCCAGCGGAAACACUGGUGGAAGCUCGUAGCGAUUCUGACGUGCAAAUCGAUCGUCGAAUUUGGGUAUAGCGGCGAAAGACUAAUCGAACCAUCUAGUAGCUGGUUCCCUCCGAAGUUUCCCUCAGGAUAGCUGGAGUUCAUACAUGCAGUUUUAUCAGGUAAAGCGAAUGAUUAGAGGUCUUAGGGUCGAAAUGA